GAUGAAGAACGCAGCGAAAUGCGAUAAGUAAUGUGAAUUGCAGAAUUCAGUGAAUCAUCGAAUCUUUGAACGCACAUUGCGCCCUUUGGCAUUCCGAAUGGCACACCUGUCCGAGCGCCGUCGCACAACUGAGGCGCAGCCUUGCGUUGGCGGGCGACUUGUGAGUAGCGAGUCGCCGCCCAAACGAGACGGCGCCGCGCCGCGGCCGACGAAGCACGAAAGCGGAAGUCGACGCGGAGGCGGUUGCCUGUAGGAAGACACAGCUUGGCCUCGGAUCAGGUGGGGAUACCCGCUGAACUUAAGCAUAUCAAUAAGCGGAGGA
rnacentral:misc_RNA from 1 species